UUCCACGACUCGACGGUUCAGAAUGAUCAAAGCCGUUGCUAGACCAAAGCGCUUCCUAAAAAUGCAAAGAACAUUAGAGGAUCAAAUCAAUCACUGAAACGUUCAAAUGCAAUACGGACUAAAGAUAAAGCCACGAAACAUUACCAUGAAAGGACACACCAUCACGGUCUCGGAAUCACAACAAAUACAAUUCGUUCAUUCAUCGCUAUUCCUUAUCUGCGGAAGAGGUGGCAUCGUGUUCAAGUCUUGGCAAAUACCUUCUGGACAAGGUGGAGAGGGAAAUAUGUGUUGAAUCUUCAAAGCAGACCGAAUUGGACUAAAGAAUGCAGAGAUGCUAAAGUCAACCACAUUGUGCUCUUACAAGAUGACUCAAGCCCACGUAACCAAUGGAAAUUGGCAAAGAUCGUUGAAGUAUAUCCUGGGCACGUUGGAAGAGUAGUGAAACUACUUAUGAGUGAUUCAACUUUGAAUGGCAGUGGAAACCCCAUAAGCAAACGUAUCUACUUGGAAAGACCUAUUCAAAAGACAGUGACUAUUUUAGAAGCAGAAUGAAGGCUUUGACAUCACUCGCUGCCAUUAAAAUGCUCUAUAAGCUUUAAUAUAUUAUAAUUCGUAAUCAAAGGUCAAAGAAAAUUCAAAGAGUUAAUAACUUCAAAAGACAAUUGAUUGGUGGGUGUGUUACUACCAAUAUUUUCCUUUAAGCAGUUUCAUUAUUGGUGUUCUGUUGUCAUCUAGUGGCGAUUGUUGGCCAGAACCAUUCAUCCCGAAUAAAGGUCCACCGGACCCUAGUUGCCAUGCACAUUCAUUGGAGCACGUUGAAAGACACGUUUUGUAAGCUCUGUGUAGCCAUUUGUAAGAAGACGAGAGUGCCAAGAACCUACCGUCCGAGGCAAGUCGAUGACAAGCAGGAUUUCGGCCGAAGUUUAACCCCUUAUGAGUGUGAGCCCACGAGUUCUCACGGGUUGCCCGGAAUAAACCCUGUAUUUU